GCGAGAAAACUUUGCAAUGUGCGAAAGCACGACAAGGUUAAUCCGAGUGGUUUCUGCUAAAGAAACCUUUUGUCAGUCCUAGAAACACUAACGAAUAAGGGGUGGGCAAGUUCUGGUGUCAGCCGCCGCGGUAAAACCAGCACCUCAAGUGGUCAGGAUGAUUAUUGGGCCUAAAGCAUCCGUAGCUCGUUUUGUAAGUUUUCGGUUAAAUCCAUGCGCUUAACGUAUGGGCUGCCGGGAAUACUGCAUAACUAGGAAGUGGGAGAGGUAGACGGUACUCGGUAGGAAGGGGUAAAAUCCUUUGAUCUAUUGAUGACCACCUGUGGCGAAGGCGGUCUACCAGAACACGUUCGACGGUGAGGGAUGAAAGCUGGGGGAGCAAACCGGAUUAGAUACCCUUGUAGUCCCUGAGCGGGCUGGCAAGGCGCAU
rnacentral:rRNA from 1 species